rnacentral:rRNA from 1 species
GUCGAGCGGUAGCACAGAGAGCUUGCUCUCGGGUGACGAGCGGCGGACGGGUGAGUAAUGUCUGGGAAACUGCCUGAUGGAGGGGGAUAACUACUGGAAACGGUAGCUAAUACCGCAUAACGUCGCAAGACCAAAGUGGGGGACCUUCGGGCCUCAUGCCAUCAGAUGUGCCCAGAUGGGAUUAGCUAGUAGGUGGGGUAACGGCUCACCUAGGCGACGAUCCCUAGCUGGUCUGAGAGGAUGACCAGCCACACUGGAACUGAGACACGGUCCAGACUCCUACGGGAGGCAGCAGUGGGGAAUAUUGCACAAUGGGCGCAAGCCUGAUGCAGCCAUGCCGCGUGUGUGAAGAAGGCCUUCGGGUUGUAAAGCACUUUCAGCGGGGAGGAAGGCGAUAAGGUUAAUAACCUUGGCGAUUGACGUUACCCGCAGAAGAAGCACCGGCUAACUCCGUGCCAGCAGCCGCGGUAAUACGGAGGGUGCAAGCGUUAAUCGGAAUUACUGGGCGUAAAGCGCACGCAGGCGGUCUGUCAAGUCGGAUGUGAAAUCCCCGGGCUCAACCUGGGAACUGCAUUCGAAACUGGCAGGCUAGAGUCUUGUAGAGGGGGGUAGAAUUCCAGGUGUAGCGGUGAAAUGCGUAGAGAUCUGGAGGAAUACCGGUGGCGAAGGCGGCCCCCUGGACAAAGACUGACGCUCAGGUGCGAAAGCGUGGGGAGCAAACAGGAUUAGAUACCCUGGUAGUCCACGCCGUAAACGAUGUCGAUUUGGAGGUUGUGCCCUUGAGGCGUGGCUUCCGGAGCUAACGCGUUAAAUCGACCGCCUGGGGAGUACGGCCGCAAGGUUAAAACUCAAAUGAAUUGACGGGGGCCCGCACAAGCGGUGGAGCAUGUGGUUUAAUUCGAUGCAACGCGAAGAACCUUACCUGGUCUUGACAUCCACAGAACUUUCCAGAGAUGGAUUGGUGCCUUCGGGAACUGUGAGACAGGUGCUGCAUGGCUGUCGUCAGCUCGUGUUGUGAAAUGUUGGGUUAAGUCCCGCAACGAGCGCAACCCUUAUCCUUUGUUGCCAGCGGUUAGGCCGGGAACUCAAAGGAGACUGCCAGUGAUAAACUGGAGGAAGGUGGGGAUGACGUCAAGUCAUCAUGGCCCUUACGACCAGGGCUACACACGUGCUACAAUGGCAUAUACAAAGAGAAGCGACCUCGCGAGAGCAAGCGGACCUCAUAAAGUAUGUCGUAGUCCGGAUUGGAGUCUGCAACUCGACUCCAUGAAGUCGGAAUCGCUAGUAAUCGUAGAUCAGAAUGCUACGGUGAAUACGUUCCCGGGCCUUGUACACACCGCCCGUCACACCAUGGGAGUGGGUUGCAAAAGAAGUAGGUAGCUUAACCUUCGGGAGGGC